rnacentral:rRNA from 1 species
AGGGUGUAAACGCUGCAGACUUGGUGUUGGAGGCCCUUUGGGGGGCAUUCAGUGCCGGAGAGAAGUUGUUAAGUCUGCUACUUGGGGAGUACGUCCGCAAGGAUGAAACUUAAAGGAAUUGGCGGGGGAGCACAACAACGGGUGGAGCCUGCGGUUUAAUUGGACUCAACGCCGGACAACUCACCGGGAACGACAGCAAUAUGUAGGCCAGGCUGAAGACCUUGCCCGAAUCGCUGAGAGGUGGUGCAUGGCGUAGACGUCU